GGCGGAGCCGGCCGUACCUGCGGGCCCGCGAAGUAAGAGGGAGAGGCGUCCGAGGAGGACGUGGGCCCCGGAGCGGGAAGCGCCGGGUCGCGGGACAAUGGCUGGGAAGACGGAGCUCCGGCUGUCGGCGGAGAUUCGAGGGAAGCGGCGGCGUCCGCGCAGGACGGCUCUUCGGGUGGGAGGAGCCCCAGCACCUUGCCCUGUGGGGUUCACCCGGCCUCCCGCCCUGGGUUAGCCGAGGCGGCUGUGUGUGCGUCUGUGUACACAGCACAUUUUUCUUCUCGGUUUCUUUCUUUGAGAACCCAAUUUGAAGGAAUUUUGCAGAUUUUGUUGCUAUUUAAACAAAAAGAAAGCGGCCCGCGUCUGAAGGCGGCGCUGGCCUUAAGGUCAGCAGGCGACCCCACGAGGCCGGAGGAGCUCUGCAAACGAUGGGAGAGGCGGCAGCGGCGAGGUGUCCGGGAUUCAGAUCGCGCCAGGCCUGAUCCAGACCUUGGAUGGCUUGGCAGCGUGGUUGCCAGGCCGGGCGGCCCCGGAAGAGGGCUUGGCCUCCCCAGGAGAGGCUAGAGAGAGACUCCUGCUCCCGGAAGCCAGGCUGCCAUGGGCACCAGCUCCCCGGGGUUCCAGGUGCCCCUAAGCUUUCUCCACGCUCUAGGAAAGGCCUUCUAGCAAAGGACCCAGGCGAGAAGAGGUGCUGAGGUGUCCCAACUCUGGUUGAAUUGACCAGAUGAAGAAGAGAAACCUAGGUGGCUUUAGUGAAGCUGUUGACCUGCAAAUGUCAAAAGCCUUUUCUUUGAGACUCAUGGCUCUGCAAGUCUGAAGAAGAUUAGGAAGCAAGACAGGAUUGUGGCAAGGUUCAAACCUUUUGACUUUGGGUAACAACGUAAGGUUUUCUGUUAAAGGGCACUUCCUGUUGUGGCAGGGUGCACCAGGCAACCUCAGAUUGGGCCUCUGCCCCUCUGGGAGCACUGUGACUUGGAAAGACCCCAAAAAAGUAAUCUUUUUUUUUUUUAAUACUGAGAAUCCAACUCAGAACAUUGCGCUUGCCAGGCAGUCUGCCACGCAAUCUCGGUGCCAUUGAGCUACAUCCCGGCCUCAAGGGUAAUCUCUUUAUGUGGAAAUUCUGAGGUAGCAUCAUAUGAAGCGAGAGCUCCUAACUUGGAUCUGUGGAAUUCAUUCUUUUGAUGGAAGACCAUGCACUUUUCCCUCAAGGAGGGCUCACUACUAGUCAGGGAAUCCUACAGCCAGUCACACCACUCCGGUGGUCACUCCGGAGCUUCCAGUGGUUGAGAGCCUUGACCCCCAGGUCAGCCUCGGGAGAAAUAACUAUGACUACACAACAAUACCCAUAAUACCUAAGCCCUUCAAAAAUAGAGUGUUUCUGUUGCUGCUGUAUGACUCAGACUUUGUCCUCCAAGGAAAAAAACAGCUUAAAAGAGCAAAACAAUAAAUGAGAAGGGCAAAAUAGUAAAUUGAUUUAAACAAAGUCAGCUUCAAUUCUCUUCCAGAGAGGAGGAUACGGUGCAGGCUGCGUGGUAAAUCAUUUAUUCAUCCACAGUAUUUCUUGGGAUGCUGCGUGCAGCUGGCAAGAACAGGACUCAUUUCCGGUUCCAUACCGUAAAUCAGUUAGCAUGAUCUGGUUAUGCUUGGGCAAUAUUUUAAAACAUUCGAGCACAAAUUAAUAUAUUAUUACUUAGCUUUGCAUUGAAGCACAUGUGCCUAUUUUAAUGAAGAAACCCCUUCUCCAAUCAGCCCUGGGGCUUUCUCCAACACACUUUGCUUUUUUCAUGUUAGGUCUUUUUAUGGACCUGUAAGAAGCUUUAAUUAGAUAUACAGCACUGUACAAAGUGACAAGAUGGAACAUGCACACUUGCAUUAGAGUCUCUGUGAUUCAGAUCUCAAAAAACAACAUAAUGCCACUGAUAUACAGAAGGAGUUGUUUAUUGGAAGGAAACCAGGGAGGUGCAACAAAUUAGAUCAAGAUGUGAAAAUCAAGCAGACUCAUGAAAAAAAUUGCCAUUUUUACUUUGGAACUCUCUCCAAAGGAGCAUGUGUAACAAGAGAACAGUUUGAUGAUUUUAGUUUUCUUAAGAAUAUUUGGACUUGUUUUAUGGCCUAUCUUAAAGAAUGCCCUAUGUGUACUUGGAAAGAAUAUGUAUGUUGUAAAAAUAAAUGCUGACGAGGAUGCCGGGUGAAGAAACUCUACACUGCUGAUGGGAAUGCAAAUUAGUACAGACACUAUGGAAAUCAUUAUGGAGAUUCCUCAAAAAACCUAAAAAUAGAACUGCCAUAUGACGAAGCUAUACCACUCCUUGGUCUAGACCUAAAUGAACUAAAGCCAGCAUCCUCUAGGAAUACCUGCAUCCCUGUGUUUAUCAUGGUACAAUUCACAGUAGUCAAGAUGUGGAACGAACCAGCCUAGGUGUCCAUCAAGAGAUGAAUGGAUAAAGGAAAUGCAUUAUAUUUUAUGUAUACAUUAUACAUUACAAUGUGAAUAAUAUAUAAUGGAGUAUUAUUUAGCUGUAAAGAAGGGGAAGUAUGUCAUUUGCAAGAAAAUGGAUGGAACUGGAGAUCUUCAUAUUAAAAUAAGCCAGACUCAGAAAGACAUGUAUCACGUGUUCUCCGUAGUAUGUGGGAACAUAAAACAAAUGGUGUGAAAGUAGAAGGGAAACUAUUACUAGACAAGAGGAAAGAAAUAAGGGAAGGGGAAUGUAAGGGGGGCUAAUAGGAAAGAUGGAUCUGAUUAAAAUACAUGCGUGUAUGAAAAUACUGCCUUAAAACCCAAUGUUUUGUAAAAUUAAUAGACACUAAUACAAUAUAGUUUAAAAACAAGAAGUGCGCAUUCUGUUGUUACUGGAUGGGGUGAUCUGUAUCAGUUAGAUCCUGUUGGUGAAUGGGGUUGUUCAAGUUUUCUUUAAUCGUGGUGAUUUUCUGGUAGCUAUUCUAUCGAUUAUUGAGAGUAGGUAUAAAAAUCUCCAGAAAUUUGCCCUUCCCUUCAAACAAGGGUGAACCCUUGAACAGCAGAUGGGGAUUUCAUGCCAUGAUCAUGUGAUACAGCAGAAAGCUGUCUGAGGAUCUACUCUCAUCACGUGAGCCCUGCAGCAACAGUGAAUUCUCUACGGUUUGUGGGCAGAAGAGGAAAUUAGACAAACUCAAAGCAUGAGAAGAACCCAUGUACCGUUGCUUUGAAGAUGGAGGGCCCACACAGAUAGGACCAGAAUGAAGCCUCUAGAAGCUACAUGAUCCCCAGUCGACAGCUAAAAAGCAGGACCUCAGUCCUACAGCUGCAAAGAAUUGAAUUCUUCCAGCAACCUGACUGAGCUUGGUGGCAGAUUGUUUCCUGGAGCCUCAAGAUAACAGCCAUUAUGUGAUUUCAGCCUGGGGAGGCACUGGGCAGAGAACGUGGUCCGGGCAGCUGGACAUCUGCCCAACAGAACCAUAUGUUGCUAAGGCUAAGUUGCUGAGACUGUGGUCACUUGUUAGGUGGUGUUAGAAAAUGAAUACGGCUGUGUCAAGUUUUACUCCACCAUGGUUACAAGUCCUGCCUCCUUGCAGAGUUAAUAUUGAAAAAUAAAAUUCGAGAUUUCUGAAUUCUUUUAACAAAUGGAAAGAUCUUGUCAUUGGAGAUUUAAAUUUCUAAUGUCUGCUAGAACGGAACAGUGGUUCUCCAUAUACUCCUGCUAGCCAGGGUCUAGCUCCUCUGGUUCACCUGUCUUUCACACCAAGCCAACAUCCCCAAUUACAGGCCUGGCUGGGGAAUUUGUGAAUCUGUGAC
ensembl:lncRNA